rnacentral:rRNA from 1 species
AUGACAAGCGUGACCAAAAACCAGUUUGGUUUCAUGCCUGGGAGGUCGACCAUGGAAGCCAUUUUCUUGGUACGACAACUUAUGGAGAGAUAUAGGGAGCAAAAGAAGGACUUGCAUAUGGUGUUCAUUGACUUGGAGAAGGCCUAUGGUAAGAUACCACGGAAUGUCAUGUGGUGGGCCUUGGAGAAACACAAAGUCCCUGCAAAGUACAUUACCCUCAUCAAGGACAUGUACGAUAAUGUUGUGACAAGUGUUCGAACAAGUGAUGUCGACACUGACGACUUCCCGAUUAAGAUAGGACUGCAUCAGGGGUCAGCUUUGAGCCCUUAUCUUUUUGCAUUGGCGAUGGAUGAGGUCACAAGGGGUAUACAAGGAGAUAUCCCAUGGUGUAUGCUCUUUGCGGAAGAUGUGGUGCUAGUUGACGAUAGUUGGACAGGGGUAAAUAGGAAGUUAGAGUUAUGGAGACAAACCUUGGAAUCGAAAGGGUUUAGGCUUAGUAGAACUAAAACCGAGUACAUGAUGUGCGGUUUCAGUACUACUAGGUGUGAGGAGGAGGACGUUAGCCUUGAUGGCCAGGUGGUGUCCCAGAAGGACACCUUUCGGUAUUUGGGGUCAAUGCUGCAGGGGGUGGGGGUAUUGAUGAAGACGUGA